rnacentral:rRNA from 1 species
GAUGAACGCUGGCGGCGUGCCUAAUACAUGCAAGUCGAGCGAACAGACGAGGAGCUUGCUCCUCUGACGUUAGCGGCGGACGGGUGAGUAACACGUGGAUAACCUACCGAUAAGACUGGGAUAACUUCGGGAAACCGGAGCUAACACCGGAUAAUAUAUUGAACCGCAUGGUUCAAUAGUGAAAGACGGAUUUGCUGUCACUUAUAGAUGGAUCCGUGCCGCAUUAGCUAGUUGGUAAGGUAACGGCUUACCAAGGCAACGAUGCGUAGCCGACCUGAGAGGGUGACCGGCCACACUGGAACUGAGACACGGUCCAGACUCCUACGGGAGGCAGCAGUAGGGAAUCUUCCGCAAUGGGCGAAAGCCUGACGGAGCAACGCCGCGUGCGUGAAGAAGGUCUUCGGAUCGUAAAACUCUGUUAUUAGGGAAGAACACAUGUGUAAGUAACUAUGCACGUCUUGACGGUACCUAAUCAGAAAGCCACGGCUAACUACGUG